CCCCCCCCCCCCCCCCCCCCCCCCCCCCCCCCCCCCCCCCCCCCCCCCCCCCCCCCCCCCCCCCCCGCGGGCCGGGGGCGGCCCAGCCCGGGGCCCUCCCGGGGCCCUCCCGGUGCCCUCCCGGUGCCCCGGUGUCCCCCGGUGUCCCCCAAUGUCCCCCGGCGUCCCCGGCGCGCCGCGCCCGGCGCUGUCCGUGGUGCUGAUGGCCCCGACGGGGCGGGAGCGGCGCCCGGGACCUGCCGGGGGGCGGCCGCAUGAUCCGCAUCCCACAUGACAUCCCAGAAAGGAGCUGGGCAGCGGCCACCCCUGCGAAACGUCAUUUUUUUUCCUCCGGUGAAGAAGAGGGGUGGAUUACCCCGUCCCUCCGCUCAGGCGGCUUUGCAAACAGCCGGGCAGGGGCAGCUGCAGAUCCGAGGUACCUUGUGGUUCCCAGCAUGACCGGCACCUUCCCAAACGUGCCUUCACUUGGGAUAACCAGCAGAGCAAGGAGGAGACCAGCGCCUCUGGAAUUAUGCUGUGGAGCAGUGAGGAGACCAGCACCACACAAGAACCACCUCUGCUGAAUGUGGGCAGCUCUUCCCACCCCCCUGUUGCUUCCUCUGCCAGCAAAGCUCCAACACAAGGCACCUGGAUGAACCUCCUGGAAUUCUCCUCCCUCUGGACACCCACUGGUUGCUCUCCAUUAGGAUCUCACAUCAUUCUCUGCCCAGGGCUUCUCAAUUCUUGUCUUCUUCAAGGCGUCCUUGCAGGUAACCCAAGCUCUCCCAUGGACAGUGACUGGGCUGACUCAUAGUCAAGAUGCAGUAGAAAAAAAAAAAAAAGGCAAAAAGUACUGUCUGGGCACUACAACCCUGCAACUAUUUUGGGCUUCACCCACCUGCAAUCCUAAAUGUGUCAGGUCUGAGCAGACACGGAGAGCAGAUUUGGCUCACAAGGAGAAAUAUCAUGAGAACAGUGUUAGCAAGUCUGCCUAUUUUAACAGCUGAGAAAGGCCAUUUCAUUCUUGUACCAGAUUUCCACUGCUCUUCAGUAUUGGUCAAGACAUUUUAUCUAAUUAUUCUUCUCUGAAGCUUAAUUUGUACAGCUGGCUAUUUUUAAAUGGCACAUACUUCUGCAUGGCAAGAAGGGAAAUUAAGGAAGAAAACUAUCCCAAAAUGUUCCCUUCUAUCUAGUUAAUAGGCUCCAUGUCUAUUAUUUUACUACAGAUAAUUCUAACAGGUAAUUUAGCAGGUUGCACUGACAAUGCAUCCUGCCACUCUGCCAGACACAGGAGUCCAAAUGCCCUGCCAACAUCUGGUGACAGAAGGAUUUCUCCAGGAGAGCAGAUCCAUCCAAAGGAGGGUGGGGAAAGACAAGCAGCAGCCCUCUGAGGAAUCAGGAAUCAUCUGCCAGGCAAAGCCACUAAGAAAAUAAAGAGGGAAGGCAACCAAGGAUGAGGGGGAAGGCAAGGCUGGGCUGGGCAUCAGCCACAGCCCUCCAGCAGAGGAGGGGACAAGGGGCAAGGUAUGACCUGCUGACAGUGCCCCUUCACAUGACACAAAAGUCACAGUAAGUACAGGCUCUAAAAAGUUAGAGGAAAAAAAGUCUUCUAAAACCACACCAAGCAAUUAUUACUUCUUUUCUUCUUCCAUGUCUGACGAUUUUUUUGCACUGCAUUAUUGAAGGGGACAUUGCAAAGCAGCACAAGGGGCAAAAUCCCAAAUUCGUCCAGUGGCUCUGUGCUUUCGGGCUUCACUCUGAGUAGGCAGACAAGGAGAAAAUAGUAUGUGGUAGAUGCAGAGCCAGAGUAGGCAUAGCAAAAAGCAUCAGAGAAACAUUGAAAGAAACCCAUCAGAAAGCAAACCUGGUAAUCUGGAUCACUUGGAAAGUUGAGGAGGAUGAUGGUGUUUUUUUCAGCUUGUUCAUUUGGCUUCCAGGAUGAACUUUUUGAUCUUGUGGUCAUAAACUGAAUCCUGAUUUAUCUUACACAGUAUCAAGCCCUGUAGUUCAGCAUUCUCACAGUGGACCCAUAGAAAAGACUUUGCAUGUCUAGUGAGAAAAAGGCUUUGCAUGUCAAGAUGAUGACUGAAAGGACAUCAGACAGUAACAGGGUGUUUGCAUUUGUACAGCCACUAAAAUUAGUCAUUUUUCCAUUUUACCCCUGUGACAGGCUGAGACCAAGCCAACCAUCUGGCUAAACUGGAAACUAUCUAGCAAUACAGGCAUAGGAGCAACACCCAUCACAUUUUGUGGUGUGUCUGCCAGGAGGGUGCAGGAGAACAAUUUCACACAGGUAACACCCUCAAACAACCUGUAAAUCACAGGCAGUGACAUUUGACAGGUGAUAGGUUUGGUGUCACCUGUUGGGGACAUUGCUAUUCCACGGACAAGAACGAUGGCCCAAAGUGCACACCCCGAAGGCCUCUCACUGAGGGGCUCCCAGAAAUCCAGCUCUCUUCAUUCACAAGGGUCUGGAAUCACUCAAGAUCAAAACAGUCAUUCUUCCAGAGGUGUGGGGCUGGUGCUGAGGGUGCUCGGUCCCAGGGAAUCUCCUUGGGCAGCACCCCAGCCCCAAGGUAAGGGCUUCCCACCGCAGACAUCCUGCUCCAAGGAAAACCACACAAAAAGGAGGCUAUAACCGGGUGUGGUCAGGGCUUGUGGACAUACAUGGAAAUGGUCCAGAAAUUUCUCUAGAUUGAGGCCUCUUAUUACCUGGGGAUGCUCUGUGUUGACUACGGGGUCCUGCCCUCAUCAUCCCCCCCAUGAAGGCAGAGUUGGGGUCAUGGUGCACAUGGGGCAGAUGUGGAGUGGGGCUGUGAGGAACAGAAGUGGAAGGGUGUGAAAGGGCGUGAAAAGCUGGCAGCCACCUCAAACCAGCGAGGGAAUGGGGUGGGAUCCCCCUGACACAGCCUGUCAUACCACCAG
rnacentral:lncRNA from 12 species